GUAUUUCCUGCCAAAAGGCAAACUUAGUAGCCAAGAUAUUAAUGACAGGAAAAUUGAGCAGUUUUUGCUGGUCCCGGACAAGAUUUUUUCCUUUUUCUAAGAGAUCUAUAAAAUUGCAACAACUUUUCUUCCCUGGAAGAAGAGGUGAACCAGAACUGAAAGAUGAAAGCAUUUUUAAUCGAAGCAGUGUCUGGUAGAACAGAAGCAUAAGCUAUAACUGGGCAGCAUCUUUAAGAGAAGAGAUUUCUAGAUGGACAGCAUACAGAGGGACCAUGACAGGUGGGGAGCAAAUAUAAGGAGAAUGGUGACAUCUCUGUGUGAUAUCAGUGCUUCUGAAACAUCAGGGAGCAAGUUGCUCUCCCAGCACAAAACUAUUCCAUUACAUUCAUAUAGGAUACCUUGUUCAGCCAUUUUAUAAUUGGUUAUUUUUACCUUUUGAAUCCAAUUCUCCCUGUGCAACAAGAGAACUGUUCGGUUCUGCAAACAUAUUGUAUCUAGGAUAUACUGCAACAUAUGUAACAUAUAUAGAACUGCUUGCCAUCUUGGGGAGAGGGUGGAGGGAGGGAGGGGAAAAAUCAGAACAGAAGCGAGUGCAAGGGAUAAUCUUGUAAAAAAAAAAAUUACCCUGGCAUGGAUUCUGUCAAUAAAAAGUUAUUAUAAAAUUAAAUUAAAUUAAAUUAAAAUUUAAAAAAAAGAAAGCACAUAUAAAGCAUAUAACUUUAAAAAAGUUGUUGUCUUCAUAUUUACUUACCAGUCAACUAAUUUUGAGUUUUAAUACUCCUGACAUUAUUUUGUAGGACUAUGCUAUACUUAUAUCUGUUCUACCCUUCUUCCCAUCUUACCUUUUCUUACUAUCUACUUUAUUUUCCUUCUCAAAGUCUUCUACUUAAAUCUUUCUUUUAUUUUAUUAUCCUUAAUCCUGUUCCUUCUCCUGUCAUCUUCUCUCACAAGAGUCAGAAUAUUUUCCUCUUGCCCCAAAUUUUUUUCUCCUCUGGCCUUUUUUUCAUAAAUCCAAACCACUUGCACAGUUUUCUUUUCAACUCAUCUUCUUUUUUCUGCUCCUUCUCCCUCAUCUUUCUUCCA